GCGGGUGUGGCGGAAUGGCAGACGCUACGGUCUUAAAAACCGUUGGAGAGAUCCGUGCGGGUUCGAGUCCCGCCGCCCGCA
rnacentral:tRNA from 1 species